GCCACUCUGAGGUGUAAGGGCGCUUCCGUUUCCGGUGUGUGAGGCACGUGGAUCCCGUGUUCCUGCUUAGCGGGAAAAUGCGGCCUUUAACCGAAGAGGAGACCCGUGUGAUGUUCGAGAAGCUCGCGAAAUACAUCGGGGAGAACCUUCAGCUGCUUGUGGACAGACCCGACGGCACCUACUGUUUCCGGCUGCACAACGACAGGGUGUACUACGUGAGCGAGAAGAUUCUGAAGCUGGCCUCCAACAUCUCCGGGGACAAGCUGGUGUCACUGGGGACCUGCUUCGGAAAAUUCACUAAGACCCACAAGUUCCGGUUGCACGUCACGGCUCUGGAUUACCUGGCGCCCUAUGCCAAGUAUAAAGUGUGGAUAAAGCCUGGAGCAGAGCAGUCCUUUCUCUAUGGGAACCACGUGUUGAAAUCUGGUCUUGGUCGAAUUACUGAAAACACUUCUCAAUACCAGGGAGUGGUAGUCUACUCCAUGGCAGACAUCCCUCUGAGUCCACUUCUGCAAAAGAAAACCAAGACACGUGACAACCUGCCGCCCACUCCUUCACAGCUUCUCCAGUAAGUGGAGAGGACAAAACCAAGAAACCCAGAGAGAUCUCCUUGGAACCCCAAGGCAGCAUACACAGACUAUCUUUGAAAGGACAAAAGAAAAACAGAAACAAAACCACAGGUUGCUUCUGAUGAGGGGAACAACACAACCAAAGGUCAGAAGAGAGUGUUUUCACUACACUUGUGUUGAGCUUUUAAAUUUUGUCUUAUAUACAUGUUUCACCUCUUCAACACUGAAAUUUAGAUUUAAAAAGGAAGAAAAAUAAAUGGGAUGGCAGUGACAGCUUUUCAUUCCAGGAAACUGAGAUGUUAAGUCUGCAUCACGGCAGAUUCUCAAGUCUGAGGGAUUCACAUUUAUGUCAAGCAAAGUUAGAAGAGCUUAAAACACCGAUUGUUCCCUUUGCUUAGUAUCUGGUGCUGAGGCUUCACUUAAUGUUCUCUCACAAAUCAGAAAGGAGGCAAAUCAAUGAUUCGUGGAAAUUCAUCGAAUGGAAAAUAAGUUUGUGAAGGCAAUCUAACAGCAAAUCAUCUUUGGAUAUAAAAGACACUAUGUGAAAGGUAUUGGCGAUUUCAACAACAUUCCUGACAAAAGAACACUUUUAAGCAAAAAAAUAAACUUACCUGAGUUGUGGGGUCCUUGGUCAUAUGUUUCUUCAAAAUUUUUGAAGCCUUUUCAAAUUCUUUGUUUUUGAUACAAAUAAUGACAGCCUAGGAAACAAAGGAGUUAAAUGUUAUA